rnacentral:tRNA from 1 species
AAGGAAGUGGCAGAUUGGCUAUGUAUUUAACUUGAAAUUAAAAAACGGGGGUUCAAUUCCUUCCUUCCUUG